rnacentral:rRNA from 1 species
AUGGUGUGGUCUACGAGCAAGCAACAAGGAGGAGAUCAAGAAGAACCCAAGCAGCACAAAAUGGUAAAAGAGGUGAAGAAGAGUGAGACACCCAUCUUCACGUAUCAGCUCCCCUUCCAUUCUCUUUCCCUUAACAAAGUCAAGAACAUCGAGGUCGACCGCUUGAGGCUGUCCUUCACGACGGCGAAAAACUCUACGCUGGUCCCCGUUGAUUCCGGUUCUGAUGAAGAGAGUGACGAAGAUCAAGGCUGUUCGGACAUCGACGACACUGUAAACAGUAUAGGUGGACAAAUGACCGUCGAUAAGCCUAUGGACGAAGGGUUAGAUCGCAUCUGUAGUGGUCUGCAUGCUAUUCCCAGGAAAAAUAAAGCAAGAUCGGCCAAGAAAAGAUCCCAUAAGCUCAGCUCUAGGAAGUUCUACAAAAUAUUCAGCUGA